GACGAACGCUGGCGGCGUGCUUAACACAUGCAAGUCGAACGGUAAGGCCCUUCGGGGUACACGAGUGGCGAACGGGUGAGUAACACGUGGGUGAUCUGCCCUGCACUUCGGGAUAAGCCUGGGAAACUGGGUCUAAUACCGGAUAGGACUCCUGGCUUCAUGGUUGGGGGUGGAAAGCUUUUGCGGUGUGGGAUGGGCCCGCGGCCUAUCAGCUGGUUGGUGGGGUAAUGGCCUACCAAGGCGACGACGGGUAGCCGGCCUGGGAGGGUGACCGGUCACACUGGGACUGAGAUAAGGCCCAGACUCCUACGGGAGGCAGCAGUGGGGAAUAUUGCACAAUGGGCGCAAGCCUGAUGCAGCGACGCCGCGUGAGGGAUGACGGCCUUCGGGUUGUAAACCUCUUUCAGCUAUGACGAAGCGCAAGUGACGGUAGUAGCAGAAGAAGGACCGGCCAACUACGUGCCAGCAGCCGCCGUAA
rnacentral:rRNA from 1 species